CCCUCCCCCACGGGGGCUCUCUCUUGGGGACAGAGGGAAAUGUGCGCCCAAUCCCACAAAGCGCACAGGAAGGCGCGCGCAUUCGUCCCGGCCCCGCCCAGUUCUCUGUGCGGAGUGAGAGUCGAGGAAAGACUGGACGAGUCAGCGGUUCAGUCAGAGCGAGUUUUACGACGAUCCCUUAAAAUUGCCUUCUCGGUUCCCACCCGCCCGCCCCUUCCACUCCUUCCAGGCGGAGGCGAUUCUUUUUGUAUGAAUUACUCUUGGGGCUCUGGGUUCGGCGUUCCAGGGGGGGAGGUGGGGGAAGAGUCCAGAAUCUUCCUCCCCCUUAAUGCCUUCUAGAAAAACCGGCUAAUGCAACCGGGAACAAAUAGGCGAACAUGUCUUUCCCUGGCCUUAGGUCUUGCUGGAGCCCAGCCAGAUGCCAAAGGGGGAUGGGGGAGGAAGAAAGGGAAGAUAAUCAUUCACCCCUGGUCGGUUGCUCUUUGGGCCCUGGCACUCACUCCUCCUUACCCCGCUUCCACUCCUUUUCUCCUCUACUUGGAGAAGCCACGUGACACGAAUGUCCAGGGCGGACACCUCAGUCCGGAUGGGCCUUCUCCACUCGUUCUAUGAUCUCCAACUGUCUACUAUUUAUUUCCACCUGGAUGUCCAAUUGAUGACUCAAGUGAAUAUGUCCAAAGAUCUAGUACUUUAUUACUAUGCCACUGGGCUGGAGGUACAAACAAACAAAGAAAACAGUUCCUGGCUUCCAAGAGCCUACAUUCUGGAGAGUAUGAUAUGUAUACAGAUAGAUUCCAUAUGAUUUGAAGAAAGAAUAAAGACAAAAAGUAUUGAUAUCUCCUACUAAUAUUUAAUAAAAUUCUUCUCUGUUUGAUUAUCUAAUAAAGUUAAUCCAGAUUCUACCCUUA